rnacentral:rRNA from 1 species
ACGAACGCUGGCGGCACGCCUAACACAUGCAAGUCGAACGAGGACAUUCCUUCGGGGGUGUUCCUAGUGGCGGACGGGUGAGUAACGCGUGGGUAUCUGCCUCAUGGUGGGGGAUAACUGUUGGAAACGACAGCUAAUACCGCAUAGUCCCGUAAGGGUAAAGAUUUAUUGCCAUGAGAGGAGCCCGCGUCAGAUUAGGUAGUUGGUAGGGUAACGGCCUACCAAGCCGAUGAUCUGUAACUGGUCUGAGAGGAUGACCAGUCACACUGGGACUGAGACACGGCCCAGACUCCUACGGGAGGCAGCAGUGGGGAAUCUUGGACAAUGGGGGAAACCCUGAUCCAGCGAUGCCGCGUGAAUGAAGAAGGCCUUAGGGUUGUAAAGUUCUUUCACCCGUGACGAUAAUGACGGUAACGGGAGAAGAAGCCCCGGCUAACUCCGU